CAAGAUGAACACGGUAUGCAAGUUCAACAAGUACGGAUUUGAAAAACUAUAUUAAGUUUGAUAAGAUAAACCAUCUAGACAAGGGUAGCAUCGUUCUUAAACCGCUGUAAGGAUACAUACUAUAUAUGACACAUAUGACAUACUAAUUUUUUCCUCAUAACUAAUAUUGAAAUUCUGUCCAUUCUAUCUCACAUUUACUCUCCAUGAUCUCCCUUACAUUCUAGCUCAAAAUCAUCUCCAUUUUGUACUUCACAUUCUAGCAAAUAAACUAUCCAUCUCCAUUCCACGCAUCAAGAAAAUUGUUCAUCACAUUCUAGCUCGAAAACAUAUAUAAAUACAAAUCCACUUCACUCUCCC
rnacentral:lncRNA from 1 species